UUGUUGCCCGGUGUGGAUAUUGCCAUGGUGGGUUGUGUGUGUAAGGAAUUGAGGGAUCUUGCUAACGAUGACGAACUGUGGAAGCAGAAGGUUUUUGAUGAGUUUACUGUUGAGUUUCUUCUUGAUCAAACCUCAAGCAUUAUCAGUUUUGGAUAAUGGUGAAAUGUUUUACAAAUAAAUUGUGAGAAAUUAUAUGAAAAUUUUGAAUAAAAGGAAUAAAUUCGUAUCAAAAUUAUGCCAAGUUCUGUGAAUUCUGCUAAAUCAAACAUCAAUUACAGUUGUGGAUUGUUCAAUAGAUUAUUGUGACACAUUCCAUGGGCUGUACCACGUCAGACACUAAAUGACCAAAUAAAAAAAAAUGUGUUAGCCCAGCAACUGCGGGAUGAAGGGGUACCAGCCCAUCCUGACUUUUGAAAAAAAAAAUUAGUGCACUACUCAUUGUUCUUUUCUUGUUGCUAGUAAAAGAAAAUGGGGCACAUCCCAAAGAAAAGUCAAAGAGUAAAUUAGGCACAUCCUACCAAAAAACUUUGAUUGUUCCUAAAAAUAAUUUUCAAAUAACAUUACUUCAAAAUUAUUUUGGGUAAAUUACAUAGUAGCCCUCAGGUUUGAGGUCUAUUACAACCCAUAUAACAUUUUACUUUCAUACCUCAAGUACUAUUUUAUUUCAAAAUAAUACAUCCGUUACAUUUUCCAUCCAUUGAUCUGUUAAGUGCUAACGUGGCUUCCAAAUGUGUGCCACUUGGCUGCCAAAUGUAUGCCACAUGGCAAAAAUAAUAAUUUUUUAUUUUUUUUUCUUGAAAAAUCUGAAUCUUCUUAAAAAAAACAAAGCAAAAGCUAAACCCCCUUCCCCUCCCCCCACACCCACACACAAAAACCUAGAAACUUACACACCCCCUUUCCCAGACGACCCACCUCUCAGAGGCCCUUCCCGUCGCCCCCUCCGCCCCCCUCUCAUCUCCCCUAUCUUCAUCCUCUUCCCCCGACCCCCGUACCUGCAACCUAGAGAAAAAAAAACCCCAAUCCCGUCUAAACUUCGAUUCUUCUCGCUCCUUUGACCUCUCGCGCUUCGCUUCUCGAUGCCUGGACCUCUCUCUGCUCCCUUCCCUCUCUUCCUUCGGCUUGUAGGACAGUUCACAGUGGUCGCGUGAGACAUCCCGACCGUUGUUACUCGGCUCGCUUGACUGUUCGCGGCGUGAUUUGUGGUCGCAGGGCUCGCAAGAGAUCUCGCGCUUGGAAUUACGGUCCAAUCGGUGGUGGUGGUGGUGGUGGUGGUAAUCGAAGUCCUUUGACGAUCGCUUUUCAUCGGCAUCACGACUGCGAUGUUUGUCGUAGUCUCUGUCGUCCUCACUCCAGAGCUUCAAAGAAUGGUGGUUGCUGUCCCUAAGGUCAAACUCUUGGAUUUCUGUGUAUGAAUUGAGAAAAUUGUUGUUUAAUUUCAUGAUUUGAAUAUCUUGGAAUGUUGUGGGUGAGGUUACAGAUGAGAGAAGGGAGAAAGGGGGUGGGGGUGAAAAGGAGAAAGGGCUCGGGGAAGGUGGGGGUGGGGUGGGUUUUUAGAUGGGAGGGGAGGUGAAGAGAGUGGAGGAGAGGGAGGUGGUUGGGAGGGAGAAGAAGGGUAGGGAGAGGUUGCGGGGGUGGUUCUGCAUUUUCUAAGUUUUGGUUUUUUUUUUUUUUAAAGAAGAUUCAGAUUUUUCAAAAAAAAAAAUUAUUAUUUUUGCCACGUGGCACACAUUUGGCAGCCACGUCAGCACUUAACGGAUCAAUGGAUGGAAAAUGUAACAGAUGUAUUAUUUUGAAAUAAAAUAGUACUUGAGGUAUGAAAGUGAAAUGUUUUAAAGAUAUUGUAUAGGGUUGUAAUAGACUUCAAACCUGAGGGGCUACUAUGUAAUUUACCCAAUUAUUGUCUUUUAAAUCUCAAAUUUUCAAAAAUCUGUUUGGUUGAGUUUUUAAAAAUAAUUUUUUUGGUUUGAAUUCAAACUACCUUGAGCAGAAAUUGGAGGAGAGAGACAAUUGGGAAAGAGGAGAGAGGAAAUAGUUGGCGAGGAGAGAGAAAGACAUGGAGAGGGCAAGGAGGUGGGGAGAGAGCAAACAAUUACGGUGAGAAGGUGAGGAGUGAGAAGAAAGAGAGGGUGAUGGGACAAAGGCUGAGGAGAGAGAGAGAAUACAGGGUGUGGCGUGGGAAGAGAGGAAAUAGAGGGUUAGGAGAGAAAAAAGAAAGGGCUAAAGAGAGAGCAAAAAAAAAGAUGUUGAGGAGAAAGCAGAAAGAAACUCUAAAACCUCACUUUUAUUUGUUUUUAAGAAAUAGCCUAUAUUUUUAAGUUAGUUUUGAAUCCAAUUUUUAAAAAAGUCAUACCAAACAAGAAUUCAACGCCUAAAACUCAAAAAUUAUUUUUCAGUUUAAAAAGUUGAACUUAAGUAGGAUACCAAAUAAGCCCUUAUAUUUUACAUCUUCAAGUUUUAGGGGAUGUAUUCAAUUGAGAUUUUGAGGGAUUUUAAUUCUUUUAAUGAAUCUAGAAGUAUUUAAUCAAGAUUUUAAGUGAUUCUUUGAAAUUCAAUAUGUAUUCAAUCAGGAUUUUAAGAUAGUUUAUUAAAAUCUUUAGAAAUCCAAGUGUAUUCAAUUAGAAUUUUAAAGAAGUUUAUAACAUUACAAGUGUAUUCAAUUAGAAUUAGAAUUAGAAUUUAAAGAAUUUGGAAAAGUUGAGGAAUUAGAGGGAAUUGGAGAGAUUUUGUAGUUUAUUUUAAGUAUCCACAAAUCUCACAUCUCCCUAUGAGAUUUCGAAGGAAUUGAAUCAAAAUUUUACAUAGAAUCUCUACAAAUUAGUUAAACUCCAUAAAAAUCCAUGGAUUUAUAAAUCCAUUAAAAUAAUGACUCUGGAUUGAGGCUUUCACCCAUAGUGGGAUUACACCUCCAUCUCAGUACUCUAAUUCCUCCAAAUUAUGGAAUUGAAUUCCUAUUUUUUACUGGAUCCCACCUUGUUUUUUAUUCUCAAAAUGAUGAGUAAACACUGGAAUCUUUUUAAAUGGGGAGUGAUUCCCUUUCAUUUCAUCCAGGGCCGGUCCAGAGAUUUUUGAGGCCCAGGGCGACAUAAAAAAAAGUGCCCUAACUUCAUGUAAGAAAAUUAUUUAUUUUCACACAUAAGACAUCUAAAAAAUUAUACUUAGAAAAACACUUCAAACUCAAUAAUUUAGAAACAUAAAAAGACUAAUUUAUUUUGUAUUGAGAGAGGGAAACAAAAAGACUUCGGGCUUACAAGUAGAUAGAUGAUGAGUUUUGUUUUCUAUCUGAACUUUGAAUGUGUUUUUGAAUAAAUCGUGAGAUGUUUUUUUCUUAUUUACUAACCUUAUCAAUAUGGGACUAAAAAAUAAUGAUGUUUUCGAGUUUUUAAUUGAUAUGCAUUAUUAAUGAAUGGGCACUAAAUUAAACAUUUUGAUGACACAUCAUAUAAUUUGCAAAUUUAGUCUACGUAUUAUUCUUUGUUGAAGAUUGGACUUUAAUUAAAACGAAUAUUUAAAAAUAACAACCCACAUAGCUACUAGAUAGUAACUAAAAAUAAAUUAACAGCCAAACAAAAAUUUUUAAAAAUUGAAAAAAAUAAACAUGCACUUAGCAUUUCGAACUUAGGACCUCUUGUUAAUUUUAAACAACAAAAAUCAUUGUUUCUAAUUAAACUUCUUGAUCCUUUAACCAAAUUUUAUAAACUUAUACUCUUAUAAAAAGAAAUUUGUAAAAAAUGGAAAGCAAAUAAGAACACAUGAUGUUUUGAACCCAAGACCUCAUUAUUAUUUUCAAUGACAAACCAUCACUUCUAGUUAAAUUUCUGUGUCUUUGAACCAAAUUUUAUAAAUUUAUACUCUCAUAAAAAUAUAUAUAAAUAUAUCAUCCUAAUAAUUUUGGUGCCCCUAAUUUUUUUGGGCCUUGGACAGUUGCCCUACCUGCACUGGGCCUGAGCCGGCCCUAAUUUCAUCCCAACCCGGAUUGGUAAACACACCAUUACAAAAGCGGAAAUAUUAUACACGUAUGUAUUUUAUUAAUGUGUGAACAUGGUGGAUUUCAUUCUAUUUCUACAAAGCGACGAACCAAUCAGCAACUUACAGUCGUCAAAUUGCAUAACAUGUUAAGUAAUACCACAUCACACCAACAAAUUGUUUACAUUUGUCUCAUGUCAAGUGGAUCCUACCGCGUCCGACACACCUAUCAAUCUUUCUCAGUCGUCAUAUAUCAUUAUCACACACCAACCAAUUGUUCACAAUUGUCACGAAUGUCAUAAAUUCGACCAGCCCGCACAUGAACUCUUGAGACUAUAUAUAUGGUUUGAAGAGUAAAUAAAAUCACUCAAUAUUUUUUCUAAUUGUUCCAUUUCUUUCUCGUCCUUUUUUUUUUUUUUUAUCACCCAAAGAAAAAUUAUGGAUAUCCAUGGUGGAUCUGGUAGGCUUGUGGGGAACAAGAAGGACUACUCAAUACUCUUUUUCUUGAGGAAGGUAUUGAGGGAGGUGCUGUUAGAAGACCGUAGCUUUCACAAGUUAUUGGUGACUGCAGUGCAUGCAGUGUUUCUAGAGUUCGGUUUCAUCCAAUUCGAUUCAUUUUCGGGUGCCCAAGUCAAUCGCUUUCAUCUCUUAGACAAGUGGCCAACGACACCUUUCACGUUGUCGUUUACCUACACUAUGCCCGAAAUUCUGAAAAAUCGGAGUAACUGUGCCUACGUUUUCGGGUCUUUAAUUGGAAUAGAUGGCAUCCUAAUAAGAUUUCAGAAGGUGCGUAACUGUGUCUACGUUUUCGGGUCUUUAAUUGGAAGCGGGUCGGGUUCUUACUGGGUAAUUUUGAACCCCGGAGAGGUUUGGGCCCAUGAUCCGAAUGUUGAACGACACAAAAGGACUUGUCGCUAAAGGAGAAGUUUUGGAACUGUGGAAAACUGUGAAGGAUGAGAUUGUGCUGCCGUUGGCGAUCGAUCUUUAUGCGAACGCUUGUGUGCCGGCUCCGCCGAGGUUCAUGCAGCUUCCGUCGGAGCUUCAAAUGAAGAUUUUGAGGUUGUUGCCCGGUGUGGAUAUUGCCUUGGUGAGUUGUGUGUGUAAGGAAUUGAGGGAUCUUGCUAACGAUGAAGAACUGUGGAAGCAGAAGGUUUUUGAUGAGUUUACUGCUGAGUUUCUUCUGAUCAAACCUAAAGCAAUAUCAGUUUUCAAUAAUGCAUGGUGAAGUUUUUUACAAAUAAAUUGUGAGAAAUUAUAUGAAAAUUUUGAAUAAAAUGAAUAAAUUCUCAUCAAAAUUUUGCUUAGUUCUAUGAACUCUGCUAAAGCAAACACCGAUUACAGUCGUGGAUUGUCCAAUAGAUUAUUGUGACACAUGCCAUGGGCUGUACCAUGUCACACACUAAUUGAAAUAGGAAAAAAAUGUUGGAUAUAUGUCAACAAUUCGUAAUAAAAUAAAUAUGCUAAUAAUAAAUACGAAUAAAUAUAUUCCAGAGACUCAACAAGAUGAAAUAUUAAUUAAGCAGAGUAAUAAAAGAUCGAGGCUUGCGUACCGCAAUGUCCUUGAAACAGAAAUUUCGCCCCUACUCAGUGCUUGUAGUUCUACGGACGUCUGCUUCACCAGGAUUCAACGAUCUAAGUUAGAAAUUCCAGCACCGGAAAAUUGACUUCUGACGAAUAUUAAUGUGGUUCUCUCAGAAAUGAUGUUUAUGAUUGCAGGAGAAGAUUUAUGAUUUUUUCUAUGUUCUAAAUGUCAUGCAGAUGGAUGUAUAUAUAAUGUGAUUAUACCUGUUCGCAACAGGUAUGAGGAAGGGAUGCAUCUAUUGGGAGACAUCUGCUGAGAAGGGUGUUUUUGUUUCUGCGUUCUCACGCUUCAGACUUCAUCUGAAAAGAUGAGUCUAUUGGUAAAAAUAAUUAAUUAA
rnacentral:lncRNA from 1 species